CAGAUCGCAAGCCCCCCCUGGACGAGAUGACCCUCAGGUGCGAAAGCGUGGGGAGCACCCAUGAUUAAAUACCCUGGUGUCCCGCUGUAACGAUGUCCAUUUUGGAGGUUGUGCCCUUGAGGCGAGGCUUCCGGAGCUAACGCGUUAUUCGACCGCCUGGGGAGUACGGCCUCAAGGUUAAAACUCAAAUGAAUUGACGGGGGCCCGCACAAGCGGUGGAGCAUGUGGUUUAAUUCGAUGCAACGCUAAGAACCUUACCUACUCUUGACAUCCAGAGAACUUAGCAGACAUGCUUUGGUGCCUUCGGGAACUCUGAGACAGGUGCUGCUGGCUGUCGUCAGCUCGUGUUGUGAAAUGUUGGGUUAGUCCCGCAACUAGCGCAUCCUUAUCCUUUUUGCCAGCGGUUCGGCCGGGAACUCAAAGGAACUGCCAUUAUAACUGGAAGAAGCGGGGAUGACGUCAAGUCAUCUGGCCUUAUAUAGGUUCUCACGUACUUCAUGUCGUAACAUAAGAAACCACCUUUCAGACAAGUAGAUUCAUAAGAACGUCG
rnacentral:rRNA from 1 species